GGAAUUUUCCGCAAUGGGCGAAAGCCUGACGGAGCAACGCCGCGUGAGGGAUGAAGGCCUCUGGGCUGUAAACCUCUUUUAUCAAGGAAGAAGAUCUGACGGUACUUGAUGAAUAAGCCACGGCUAAUUCCGUGCCAGCAGCCGCGGUAAUACGGGAGUGGCAAGCGUUAUCCGGAAUUAUUGGGCGUAAAGCGUCCGCAGGCGGUCUGUCAAGUCUGCUGUUAAAGCGUGGAGCUUAACUCCAUUUCGGCAGUGGAAACUGACAGACUAGAGUGUGGUAGGGGCAGAGGGGAUUCCCGGUGUAGCGGUGAAAUGCGUAGAUAUCGGGAAGAACACCAGUGGCGAAGGCGCUCUGCUGGGCCAUAACUGACGCUCAUGGACGAAAGCCAGGGGAGCGAAAGGGAUUAGAUACCCCAGUAGUC
rnacentral:rRNA from 1 species